GUGAGAUGUUUGGAAAGCUUGUACUUGGUGGUGUUGGCCAAUCAGAUCGAUAACAGUAAAACAUUGGUGCUUCACCGCAACCGUAACACGUCCAAUCCGACCGGCUGAAGAAGCUCCGGUGUCCUCUGCAUAGCCGGCUUUGUUUAUGUCCGUCACGAACACCCACGACAUGUAAAGACCGAAUCCCCAUGAACACGUCAGCUUCCUGUUCCUCGAGUGACACGAGCCAGGCGACCCAACUGGUUUCAUUCCAUUAUCCGGUCCAAUGCCACACCAAAGCGGUUGUUUGGAGAAGAAGCAGCUCGGACGGCAGCGCAGAGAAGAGGAAGCAACGUCAUCAUGGAAACAGUUGCAUAGACCCUCAAACUGGUCAAACUGGUAACCAGAUUCUGCCUUUUAUGUAUUUUUUGUGUUUGGAGCGGAUCACCGCUUCAGUGCUUUAUUCUUCUCUCAUGUUUGUUACGUUGCCUUUAAUUUACCGACAGGAAACGUCACAGCGCUUAGCGCUGGUUUACGGGUCACCUGUGGUGAGAUUAUUGCUCUGAAACAAGUGCCUCUUCUAAGGAAACAGGAAACAUUGGGCCACUUAAAAAAAAACCACAGGCAGCCGGAUGGAGCUCAGUGAACAGAGACGUGUG
ensembl:lncRNA